rnacentral:misc_RNA from 1 species
UCCUGGUUCCCCAGGCAGUCCCAUCAGAGUGCCUCCGAAGAGUAGCAACUGAUGGCAAAGGUUGCGCUCGUUAAAGGACUUAACCCAACAUCUCACGACACGAGCUGACGACAGCCAUGCAGCACCUGUGUAACCGUCCGUAUUACUACGGAACCCAAUGUUUCCACUGGUAGCAAUUACAUGUCAAGCCUAGGUAAGGUUCCUCGCGUAGUGUCGAAUUAAACCACAUGUUCCACCGCUUGUGCGGACCCCCGUCAAUUUCUUUGAGUUUUAAUCUUGCGACCGUACUCCCCAGGCGGAUCACUUAACGCGUUAGCUUCGACACUGACCAGGCGAACCCAGCCAACAUCUAGUGAUCAUCGUUUACGGCGUGGACUAC